AAUAAUUAAUUUUGUGUUAUUUUUUAAAAACAUGUUAUAAAUUGCAAGCAACUUUUGUUUUACUUCUAAAAAUCAUAACUUAAAUUUUCUAAAAAAACUUUAUUUUAGGUAUCAUUUGGUCAAGAUACUCCAUGGUAAUAAUUCCUAAGAACUGGAGUUUAUUUAGUGUAAAUAUCUUUGUAGCUUUAACUGGUUUAUUCCAACUGAGCCGUAUAUACAGGCACAAACAAUCUUUGAAACAACCAGCAGCAUAAAACCCUAUUGUGUUCAUUAUUCUUUAACAGUUAUUUAUUUGUUAAUCAAAUAUUGAGAUUCUUAAGUUUUUGAAUCAUACAUGUUAUUAGUGAUAGCUUUUAAAUUUGUUGCAGUUAUGUUAAAUUAAAAUAAUUUUUUGAGUUUUCA